rnacentral:rRNA from 1 species
GCGAGCGGCGGACGGGUGAGUAAUGCUGGGAAAUUGCCAGUCGAGGGGAUACAGUUGGAAACGACUGCUACUACCGCAUACGCCUACGGGAAGCAGGGACUUCGGGCCUGCGCGAUUGGAUAUGCCCAGGUGGGAUUACUAUUUGUGAGGUAAUGCUCACCAAGGCGACAAUCCUACUGGUCUGAAGGAUGAUCACCACACUGGAACUGAGACACGGUCCCAGACUCCUACGGGAGGCAGCAGUGGGGGAAUAUUGCACAAUGGGGGGAAACCCUGAUACAGCCAUGCCGGUGUGUGAAGAAGGCCUUCGGGUUGUAAAGCACUUUCAGCGAGGAGGAAAGGUCAGUAGCUAAUAUCUGCUGGCUGUGACGUUCUCGCAAAAAAAGCACCGGCUAACUCCGUGCAGCAGCCCGCGGUAAUACGGAGGGUGCAAGCGUUAAUCGGAAUUACUGGGCGUAAAAGCGCACGCAGGCGGGUCUGUCAAGUCGGAUGUGAAAUCCCCGGGCUCAAACCUGGGAACUGCAUUCGAAACUGGCAGGCUAAAGUCUUUGUAAGGGGGGGUAGAAAUCCCAGGGUGUAGCGGUGAAAUGCGUAAAGAUC